CGCAAGCCUGAUGCAGCCAUGCCGCGUGUAUGAAGAAGGCCUUCGGGUUGUAAAGUACUUUCAGCAGUGAGGAAGGUGGGUAUGUUAAUAGCAUAUUCAUUUGACGUUAGCUGCAGAAGAAGCACCGGCUAACUCCGUGCCAGCAGCCGCGGUAAUACGGAGGGUGCGAGCGUUAAUCGGAAUUACUGGGCGUAAAGCGCAUGCAGGUGGUUUGUUAAGUCAGAUGUGAAAGCCCGGGGCUCAACCUCGGAAUUGCAUUUGAAACUGGCAAACUAGAGUACUGUAGAGGGGGUAGAAUUUCAGGUGUAGCGGUGAAAAUGCGUAGAGAUCUGAAGGAAUACCGGUGGCGAAGGCGGCCCCCUGGACAGAUACUGACACUCAGAUGCGAAAGCGUGGGGAGCAAACAGGAUUAGAUACCCUGGUAG
rnacentral:rRNA from 1 species